UGCAUUCUACUUUUGCUCUCUGGGUUCACAGCUGAAGUUGUGUCAGGGUCAGGCGGUGGCUUUCGCUCUGGAAUCCUCCAACGAGGACGUCGGGCAGGAUUCAACCUGCGGGACAUGGAAGAAGAUGGCUUCCGCAAGGUGCACGUGUACCGACGUCCCAGGAAGAACCCACCGUACUCGGAUGUGGCUGCAAACCUUGUCAACG
rnacentral:lncRNA from 1 species